rnacentral:pre_miRNA from 10 species
CCAGUCGCCGGCCCCCCGCUCCCUUCGGCAACGGGUAUUCUCGGGCGGAUAAUACGGACGCGCUGUUAUUGCUUGAGAAUACGCGUAGCCGAGGGGACGCCCCGCCCCGGCCCUCGUG